UACGGGAGGCAGCAGUGGGGAAUAUUGCACAAUGGGCGCAAGCCUGAUGCAGCCAUGCCGCGUGUAUGAAGAAGGCCUUCGGGUUGUAAAGUACUUUCAGUCGUGAGGAAGGUGUUAAGGUUAAUAACCUUAGCAAUUGACGUUAGCGACAGAAGAAGCACCGGCUAACUCCGUGCCAGCAGCCGCGGUAAUACGGAGGGUGCGAGCGUUAAUCGGAAUUACUGGGCGUAAAGGGCACGCAGGCGGUUAAUUAAGUUGGAUGUGAAAUCCCCGGGCUUAACCUGGGAAUGGCAUUCAAGACUGGUUAGCUAGAGUCUUGUAGAGGGGGUAGAAUUCCGAUGUGUAGCGGUGAAAUGCGUAGAGAUGUGGAGGAAUACCGGUGGCGAAGGCGGCCCCUGGACAAAGGCUGACGCUCAUGUGCGAAAGCGUGGGGA
rnacentral:rRNA from 1 species